AGAGGUUGCUUCUGGCUCAGGAUGAACGCUGGCGGCAUGCCUAAUACAUGCAAGUCGAACGAAGUCUUUAGGAAGCUUGCUUCCAAAGAGACUUAGUGGCGAACGGGUGAGUAACACGUAGGUAACCUGCCCAUGUGCCCGGGAUAACUGCUGGAAACGGUAGCUAAAACCGGAUAGGUAUGAGGGAGGCAUCUUCCUCAUAUUAAAGCACCUUCGGGUGUGAACAUGGAUGGACCUGCGGCGCAUUAGCUGGUUGGUGAGGUAACGGCCCACCAAGGCGAUGAUGCGUAGCCGACCUGAGAGGGUGAACGGCCACAUUGGGACUGAGACACGGCCCAAACUCCUACGGGAGGCAGCAGUAGGGAAUUUUCGUCAAUGGGGGGAACCCUGAACGAGCAAUGCCGCGUGUGUGAAGAAGGUCUUCGGAUCGUAAAGCACUGUUGUAAGUGAAGAAUGCCAUAUAGAGGAAAUGCUAUGUGGGUGACGGUAGCUUACCAGAAAGCCACGGCUAACUACGUGCCAGCAGCCGCGGUAAUACGUAGGUGGCAAGCGUUAUCCGGAAUCAUUGGGCGUAAAGGGUGCGUAGGUGGCACGAUAAGUCUGAAGUAAAAGGCAACAGCUCAACUGUUGUAUGCUUUGGAAACUGUCGAGCUAGAGUGCAGAAGAGGGCGAUGGAAUUCCAUGUGUAGCGGUAAAAUGCGUAGAUAUAUGGAGGAACACCAGUGGCGAAGGCGGUCGCCUGGUCUGUAACUGACACUGAUGCACGAAAGCGUGGGGAGCAACUAGGAUUAGAUACCCUAGUAGUCCACGCCGU
rnacentral:rRNA from 1 species